UGGGGAAUAUUGCACAAUGGGGGAAACCCUGAUGCAGCAACGCCGCGUGCGGGAUGACGGCCUUCGGGUUGUAAACCGCUUUCAGCCAUGACGAAGCUUUUGUGACGGUAGUGGCAGAAGAAGCACCGGCUAACUACGUGCCAGCAGCCGCGGUGAUACGUAGGGUGCGAGCGUUGUCCGGAAUUAUUGGGCGUAAAGAGCUUGUAGGCGGUUUGUCGCGUCGAAAGUGUAAACUCAGUGCUUAACGCUGAGCCUGCAUUCGAUACGGGCUGACUAGAGGAAGGUAGGGGAGAAUGGAAUUCCCGGUGGAGCGGUGGAAUGCGCAGAUAUCGGGAGGAACACCAGUGGCGAAGGCGGUUCUCUGGACCUUUCCUGACGCUGAGAAGCGAAAGCGUGGGUAGCAAACAGG
rnacentral:rRNA from 1 species